AGGAGGCGGGCCCGAAGAGAGGGUGGACCACGGCUGCGCGCUGGCUCCGGGAAGCGGUCGAUGCCCGCGGCCGACGGAGACUACAACCCAGAGGCGGAGGACAAAGCGGAAGGCCGAAGAGCGAGGACGAAACCGGCGGAACCGCACUUUGGAGCCUAACGAGCCAUCGCUGCGUCUGAGACUGGGACCCGGAAGUAAACAGGCCGGACGUGACGCAAGCCGCUCGGCCUAGGGAUGGUGGCUGGCCGGGUUGUCAUGGAAACCGCUCCGGAGCCGGGAGCUGGGAGCUAUGAGUGCUGACUGCGUGAACUCGGCCUCCACUUCCCGGACCUGCCACUUAUCAUGAUCCACGAGCUGUACUCAUGACUCCGCACAAGCAAGCAGGGGCUGACGGUCGGAUCCCUCGCCCCCAUUUUACGGACAGAAGUACCGAGGCUCAAAGAGAGCCAGUGAGAUGCUGAAAUCACGCGUGAUUGGAAUCCAGCCUUGCUAGGGCUGCGGGUGUUACGGGCCGUGGGCGGCGGUUAAGAGCGCUAGUCAAGUGAAGCAAUGGGAAUGGAGAAGAAACAAAUCUAUAACUGGUUGUGAUGAAUUAGUUGUAAGCACCACUGCAAUUGGACCAGUCAAUACCAUGGUUAUCACAGGAGCGUGGCUGAGGCUGUGUUUGGCCCUGGGUGCCAGGUCUGCACCCUGCACUAAGGAUGGGUGAGGAACGACAGGCAGUCGAGCUGGUUGGUGCUACAGGCAAUGUACAGUAAGCCAUGAUGGGCAGAGGCAGGAAAUACUUAGAGAACUGGAAAGAAUAAAGGAGCCGGUGUUCUCUUCGCAGGGCCAGGUGAGUCUGUGAGAUGCUCACACGCCCCCUGGUGGUGUCAGUAGGAAUUCUUCCUGGCGCUCAGCAAUUUGGCAAUCUUGAAGAACCGGCUGAAAUCAAGAUGAAAUUAUCUGCCCACAGGUUUAAAAAUGUAGCAAUACAUGAUGGGGUAAAUUAUGCCUAACUUAGACAAGUAUAGCGAUAAAUUUUACAUGUGGACUGAGGCUGAUAGAACUGUGACGCCUGAGAGUUACAGGAUUUGAGGGCUGGAGUUACUUCCGAUUCAUCUUAACUGUUCCUAAUGCAUCAUUGUUUAUUUUUUCUUUUUUUAAGAGAAAAAAAAGUCACCCAGGCUGGAGUGCAAUAGCACGAUCAUGGCUCAUUGCAGCCUCAACGUCCUGGGGUCAAGCAGUCCUCCUCAGCCUCCCCAAGUGCUGAGCCCACAUGUGCAUGCCCCUAUGCCCAGAUAUUUUUUGUAUUUUUUGUAGGGAUGGGAUCUCGCUAUGUUGCCCAGGGUGGUCUUGAACUCCUGGGCUCCAGGCAAUUGCCUUAGCCUCUCAAAGUGCUGGGAUUACAGAUGUAAGCCACCUCACCUGGUCCCGAAUUUUUAAUUAAAAAGUGGUGCAUGAACUUGAUAUAAAUAUUUAGACAACACAAGAGGAAACAGAAGGAGAAGUCUUUCUCCAGGCCCAGAACCUAAGACCCAGUCCCUUAGCUCCCCUUUUGUUUUUUGGUUGUUUGUUUGUUUCUUUUCAUAUAAAAUAGAGACAGGGUCUUGCCAUGUUUCCCAGGCUGGUCUCAAACCGCCAGGUUCAAGUGAUCCACCUGCCUUAGCCUCCCAAAGUGCUGGGAUUACAGGCGUGACCCACCACACCCGGGCCAUUUUCCCUUUCUAAUAGGAACCAUUGGUACCAGAUUCUCAGAAAUCUUCCCAGGAGGCCGGGCGCGGUGGCUCACGCCUGUAAUCCCAGAACUUUGGGAGGCCGAGGCGGGUGGAUCACCUGAGGUCAGGAGUUCGAGACCAGCCUGGCCAACAUGGUGAAAUCCCGUCUCUACUAAAAAUAUAAAAAAAUUAGCCGGGCGUGGUAGUGGGCGCCUGUAAUCCCAGCUACUCGGGAAGCUGAGGCAGGAGAAUUGCUUGAACCCAGGAGAUGGAGGUUGCAGUGAGCCAACAUGGUCCCACUGCACUCCAGCCUGGGUGAGAGUGAGACUCCGUCUCAG